rnacentral:rRNA from 1 species
UACAGAGGUCUCAAGCGUUGUUCGGAUUCAUUGGGCGUAAAGGGUGCGUAGGUGGCGCCGUAAGUCAGGUGUGAAAUUUCGGAGCUUAACUCCGAAACUGCAUUUGAUACUGCGGUGCUUUGAGGACUGGAGAGGAGACUGGAAUUUACGGUGUAGCAGUGAAAUGCGUAGAGAUCGUAAGGAAGACCAGUGGCGAAGGCGGGUCUCUGGACAGUUCCUGACACUGAGGCACGAAGGCCAGGGGAGCAAACGGG